UUUCGGAGGGAUUUCGAACGAAUUUCAAUAUCAAUGCCACGUUCCUAUUUAUAAAGUGCCUAGAAGCGGUUUUCACUGACAGCAAUGAUCGAGGCCUCGGGUUUAAUAUUAUUUCAAGUACAUUAAUUACACAUUUUCAUGAGGUCAUUUGAACGCGUGGUGCAGUGGCUGCUGGUAAUAAAAGGAAGGAAGUAUAAUCGCUGGGGUAUCUACGUGUAAAGAAAUUCAUCAUUCUCUCAACAUUUUAAGUGCCUUUCGGGGAGAGAGAGAGAGAGAGAAAAAAAAACAAAAAAUUAUGGCAGCCCCACGACGUUCGUGAAUCGCCCAUGUUUGAACGUGCAAAAUCUCGUGAUUGUCACGAGUCUUUUAAACGAUUGUAAUAGCCCUGCGAGAGUUCCGCGUAGCAAGUUUUACAUGCAAAUCAAAUUUGUCUUUACAGGUCCUCGUUUUUUUUUUCAUUACAAUUUUGUGGAAUUGCAAAUUUUUGAAAAUUUUCAAUUACCAACGUUUUUUUAAAUCGUCGAUGAGAUUCUUCAGGACGAACGAUUUUUAUUUCGAUCCGAAUCGUGUCGAAAUUUAGGCAAAAAUCAAAAUUCUUUUGAUCGGAUUGAAUUUAGCUGGGAAUAGGUCAGAAAAAUAAUCAACUUUUCGACAAAGUCAACAAAAUCAAAAAAAAAAAAAAAAAUUAAAAAAUUGAAAAAAAAAAUCGUCUAUUGAAACAGAACCAAAACAAUCGCAUAAAUUCGAUCGAUGCUCUAUCGAAAAGCUGGAAAAAGAGAACUCUGGUGCGUUCACAUCGCUCUCCGCAUCGCCGGACUUUUUAGUGCUGCCGGAUCGUCGCGCGAAGCACCUUCAUUCGUAGAUCGAAAUCUGUAGAUCUCGUGGAAAGAUCGUCGCAAUAAAAAAG